AUGAGGGCCCCCACUCAGCUCCUGGGGCUCCUGCUGCUCUGGCUCCCAGGUGCUAGAUGUGACAUCCAGAUGACACAGUCUCCAGAAUCCCUGUCUGCAUCUGUAGGAGACUCAGUCACCAUCACUUGCCAGGCCAGUCAGGAUAUUGGCAAUGCAUUAAGCUGGUAUCAGCAGAAACCAGGAAAAGCUCCUAAGCUUCUAGUCUAUGCAGCAUCAAGUUUGUACACUGGGGUCUCCUCGAGGUUCAGUGGCAGUAGAUCUGGGACAGAUUUCACUCUCACAAUCACCAGCCUGGAGGCUGAAGAUAUUGCAACUUAUUAUUGUCAACAGUAUUAUAAUAACCCUCCCACAGUGUUACAAGUCAUAACAUAA